GACGAACGCUGGCGGCGUGCCUAAUACAUGCAAGUCGAACGCAGAGGGGACGGGUGAGUAACACGUGGGUAACCUCCCAUCAGAGGGGAUAACACUUGGAAACAGGUGCUAAACCGAUACUGAUGGAUGGACCCGCGGUGCAGUAGCUAGUUGGUGAGGUAACGGCUCACCAAGGCCACGAUGCAUAGCCAACCUGAGAGGGGAAUCGGCCACACUGGAACUGAGACACGGCCCAGACUCCGACGGCGGGCAGCAGUAGGGAAUAUUCGGCAAUGGGCGAAAGUCUGGCCGUGCAACGACGCGUGAGUGAAGAAGGUUUUCGGAUCGUAAAACUCUGUUGUUAGAGAAGCGGUAUCUAACCAGAAAGCCACGGCUGACUACAUGCCAGCCGCCGCGGUAAUAC
rnacentral:rRNA from 1 species